rnacentral:rRNA from 1 species
CCUACGGGAGGCUGCAGUGGGGAAUAUUGGUCAAUGGACGAGAGUCUGAACCAGCCAAGUAGCGUGAAGGAUGACUGCCCUAUGGGUUGUAAACUUCUUUUAUAUGGGAGUAACAUGUUCCACGUGUGGGAUUUUGUAUGUACCCUAUGAAUAUGGAUCGACUAACUCCGUUCCAGCAGCCGCGGUAAUACGGAGGAUCCGAGCGUUAUCCGGAUUUAUUGGGUUUAAAGGGAGCGUAGGUGGAUUGUUAAGUCAGUUGUGAAAGUUUGCGGCUCAACCUGAAAAUUGCAGUUGAAACUGUCAGUCUUGAGUACAGGAGAGGUGGGCGGAAUUCGUGGUGUAGCGGUGAAAUGCGUAGAUAUCACGAAGAACUCCGAUUGCGAAGGCAGUUCACUGGACUGCAACUGACACUGAGACGCGAAAGUGUGGGUAUCAAACAGGAUUAGAUACCCCUGUAGUC